CAGGAGAGGUUGCUGAAGGCUCGAUGUGGUGGCGUGGAGGCAGGCCAGCACAGACCAUGGUGGUGUGGUCAGGCAGCUCUGUUGGAAAGAGGACAAAACAGAAGCGGCAGUCUUCCAGAGGCACGGGAGCUGCAGGCUUGCAGAAAGGCUCUGCAGGGCAGAACGCAAGGCCGAAACUCGGAGCAGCCCACUCUCACCUCUCCCUGCCGCACUGGUCUCAGCCGGGCACCCCGAGCAUCGUGCCUUAACGCAGCACUCAGAAAUCUUCUACAGGCAGGGUGGCGAGGAACUUCCGACUGAGCAGAGUCACCCAGACCACACUGAGCAGCAGCAGAGUGGGGGAAGUGUCCUUGCGGGUCCCCGAUCUCAGACGGAGUCUCAUGUUGGGUUGAUGGGUUUUCAAUUCAUGAGUCUCACUAUGUUGAGGAAUUUCUCACAGACACCAGCUUGUGGAGUGUUUUUAUCAUGGAAGUGUGCAGGGUUCUUCCAAAUGCUUUUGCCACAUUGAUUGAGAUGACUAUUUGUGUUGUUUCCUU